CAGUCACUAGGCAACAGCCGGACGCCACUACAUGCUCGGACCACGGCCUCACGCCACUGCACCCCGAAGCCAGCAUACGGCCGGAUGCGGGACUCUCAGCGGCAGCAUUUACGGUGUUAUUGGUAUCGUAUAACAUACCCCGCACCAUAAAAUAUUAUAUAUUCCUGCUAAACACAUCCAGCACUUAUUCUUGAGCCAGGCAGGGGUGAUUACCUAUUGUCUAGCUACUUUCAAGCACGGCUUGUUAUCUCUUAUAUACAUAUAGUGCCAUCAGUUGGUUAUAUGAUGUUACUGUGUAUUAUAUGAGUGAUAAGAUAUACUUUUAUAGCCACAGAAUUCCUUUCUAUUGCAGUGGAUGUAUAUAUACAGAUCACUCUUGGAAUUGUUGGAAAUGGUUACUGUGUUGCUAUUUAACAAGUAUUGGGAGCUUUUUACUGUGUGCACCCGCCACAGGGGCCAUAGGAAUAUUGUGGCUUUUUGAAGUUAUAAUACAUGCCGAAUAGUUUGGGUUGUUUCUCAACAAAAAACUGCUCCAGCCACUGCUCUUGUGUUUGCCUCUGUUGGACUUCUGAUUAAUUACCUAUUUUAGGUUUAUUUUCAUAUCUUCAACUGUGUAUUUGCUGGCGGGAAUUGUGUAUAGGCCCUGUUCCUAUCACCAUAACUAAGUUAUGCUUAGCUUCAGGUUCUAUGUAUAUGUGGAGAUGUGCCCUGUGUCCCAGGGCACAUCACCACAACAGUGUGCAAGGGAUCUGUGUCCCCUGCAGAGCGCGAGGGUGGACAGUGCUGGGGCAGCUUGUCUGUCCCCAGCGCUGGGUGUGCGGCGGCGGCGGGUGUCUGGUGCAGGGAUCGGAUGUUUCCCUGCACCAGGCUGUCGGCGGCGGCGGGUAACGGCGCGGUAGUGGCGCUUUAAACUUGGCACCGUUCUGGCCGCCAAUCAGAAGCGCCGCCCGUGGCUUUUCAAAUCCGGCGCCGUCCGCGAGCCAAUCGCGGCUCGCCGGCCAAUCAGAAGCGGGCGUGGCGAGCCAAUCGGCGCUCGCCGCAUCACAGGCCCUGCCCCCGGCAUCUGACGUCAGAUGCCGGGCGGGAGCCGAAGACAGAAGAAGCCGCACCGAAGAGCGGCGAAGAUCGGAGUGGCGCCAGGAGGAGGAAGACGUCGCGGAAGGAGCUCCGGUGGCCGCGGAAGAGGCCAGAAGACUCCAGGCUUCGGAAAGAAGAUGUCCAGCGGCGGCUGGACGCGUCGAGGCGACGGAGGCGCCGCUGGCCAGGACGGGCCAGCGGCCGAAGAUUGAAAAAGAGCGCCGGAGAGGUCACCAGGGGUGGAAAGUAAGAGAGUUGAUGAAGCUCCCCCCUGGUGCCUCUCCCAGCGGGUCAGGUAGGCCCUUCUCAGGUGCCCCUGUACCUGCUCCUCCCUAGACCACCGGGUGUUCGGGCAUUAGGCCCGUGGGCACAGUCAGGCCCUUCCGGACAGUGGGCACGUAGUCGGGCCCUCCCGGCCCGUGGGCACGUAGUCGGGCUCGUGACCCUGUUAGCCAGGCACUAGGCCCGCGGCCACAUUUAGUCGCCCCCCCCCCGGCCCGUGGCGCAAGAUAGACGGGCAUUAGGCCCGAGGGACAAACACAGGCAAUAGGCCUGGGGGACAGUAGAGGGCAUUAGGCCCUAGUCCAGUUGGCGACCACUAGGAACAUAAGGUGACCCUGGGCACCAGGCCCAGGUCACCCAACGGGCGACAAGUUAGGCGGGCGCUAGGCCCGAGGGAUAAAGUCAGGCCUCGGGCUUGUGGGCAGUUAGGGGGCAUUAGGCCCAGUAAAUAAGAGGUUCCCUCCUCAAAGGUGGAUAAAGGUGGCACUGGGCAAUAGGCCCAGGCCACCCUGAGGUGUUUAGGUAGGCAGGUCCGCUUGACCUGAGCCCCAUAGAAGGAAGUGUACAGGAGGUGGGCAGGCUGUGUGGCGCCCACCCCUUUCCAGCGGUAGGUAGGGAUUCAAAGGAAUAGCACAAUUUGAUGUUGUACUCUGGUAUGUGUGUUGUUACCGUGCAGGGCAAAGUGUUGUUUAGAGUUUGUGCAUAGUUUGUGUUGCACCACCCACACUUGAGCCAGUUUGAGGGCCUUGUUUAUGUAGCUAGUGUAGCGGAUGCACACUAGGUUAGAGUUAGGCCCUGCACGGCUGUUUCUCUCUUUGCCUCCUUACAGGGACCUGUAAGUGGAGAAGAUCGGAGUACAAGACGUAGGACGGUGAGUAACAUCUGUCUGUGUGUCCCUAUCUGUCUCCCUUCCUUCAGGGCGAACGGUGAGCCUUGCACACCGGUGCAAGGUAGAAUUUCCACCUGGUGCGAGAGUGCCAAUAGGUGAAAUUCGGGCUCUGAGGCGUACGCCUGGGAUGACCCUCACCUAGCCCGAAAGCGUUAUAUUUCUGGGUUCCGGAGGGUGUUUCGGUCCACAGUCAGGAGGACGGCACUCAGUGAUCUCCUUCCUCCUAGGUCAUCGUGUCCGGGUCCGACUGAAGAUUUUCCAGGUCCGUUGAAGGUUCCGGUACCUGAAGGUGAGAGAGUGCGGCGCCUGGUAAGUGGUGAACCUACACCUGCACGGCAGCAGGCACUACACGCACCGCCGUCACCCUCUUACAUAUAUACGACAUAAGUGUUGUGAUUUAGCCAUUUCAGUGGUGCAUAGGGGCAAUACAGGAGUUGCUUGUUGCUUCUACACAUACCACUGUUCUAUUCCUGCCAUAAUUGCAGGGUAAUUUGUGCGGAGUAAUCAUACCUGGCACAUAGAUAUAUGACAUUCUUGAUGGCCAUACUGGUGCUCUAAUUGUUUAUUUAACUCGUCUGCGGUCGAUGUGUUACAUGUAUACCAAUCUGGUUAUUGCACUUAAUUAAUUUUUUCAUGUCAUGCUACAGAUGUUUUCAAUCCGCAUUACUGUGGAUAUAUAGUGUUUACACUAUACAUAUUUGGAGUGACAAAACAGGCGAAGCUAACAAUUGCGGACAUACCCCACUGGAGAUGCCCAAUCUCCUCUGAUCUUGAAGCCAAGCAGUGGAGGGCUGGGCUAGUACUUGGAUGGGAGACCACCUCUGAACACCCUGAGCUGCUGACGUUUCCAGUUUCCAUGCAGGAAGACAGGUAGGAGGAGAUCAUCUGGCAAAGAGAUUUGCAGAGUGUCGGGUGACCGGCAAAGAGAUCUGCAAAGUGUCAGUUAGGAGCUGAUUGGCUGUGGGUGAUCCCUGAAUAGCUGCCCUGGGAGGAGAGCUGCGGACACAUGCUCCAAAUGUUGGGACAUAUGUAUUACCUAUUAGGAGAUGCGGUAAAGAUGCCGGCUGUCAGGUUUACGGCAGUCAGAAUACUGAUACUGGGAUCCCGACACUCUUCAGAAUCCCGACGUUGGAAAUCUGAAUGGGCAAGGAUACCGACACCUGUAUCCCCACGAUCAUAGGUUUAGGGCUGGGCAAGGGGGGUUAGGUUUAGGCAU